rnacentral:lncRNA from 1 species
CUUCCCAGAUCUGACCCGGUUGAAGAUCGGGUCGGGUCCGAGUCGGGUUUGGGUCCGAAUCGGGUCCAUUUCUUUUGUGUUUUUUGAAAAUAAUUUUGGGCAAAUCUAAAUUGGCUAUAUCAGAACUAUAAGGUGCUGGGUGACCCAUGACUUAAAAGAUUUGCAAUUGACCUCCAGUGAGAAUAGAUGACCCGUGACGAAUCCGUCUACAACCCAAAUUUCAUAUCACAUUAUUUAUUUUAUCUAUAUGACUGAUUGGACGGAACUUGGUGAUUCCCACUCUCACUU